AUUGAACGCUGGCGGCAUGCUUUACACAUGCAAGUCGAACGGCAGCGCGGGCUUCGGUCUGGCGGCGAGUGGCGAACGGGUGAGUAAUGCAUCGGAACGUGCCCAGUAGUGGGGGAUAGCCCGGCGAAAGCCGGAUUAAUACCGCAUACGACCUGAGGGUGAAAGCGGGGGACCGAAAGGCCUCGCGCUAUUGGAGCGGCCGAUGUCGGAUUAGCUAGUUGGUGGGGUAAAGGCUUACCAAGGCGACGAUCCGUAGCUGGUCUGAGAGGACGACCAGCCACACUGGGACUGAGACACGGCCCAGACUCCUACGGGAGGCAGCAGUGGGGAAUUUUGGACAAUGGGGGCAACCCUGAUCCAGCCAUGCCGCGUGCGGGAAGAAGGCCUUCGGGUUGUAAACCGCUUUUGUUCGGGAAGAAAUCCUCUGGGCUAAUACCCCGGGGGGAUGACGGUACCGGAAGAAUAAGCACCGGCUAACUACGUG
rnacentral:rRNA from 1 species